UUUUAUUUCAUUUAGAUUGCCUUCAUAUAUGUGUAUAUUUUUAGGAGAUUUCUACUGUAUUAGGUUCCCAUACGAUCACUCAAUUGCCUCUCAGUUUUAGCUGUCUCUCCCUGUCUUCCCUCCCUAAUGUACUUAAGUGGUUAUCCCAUGGUCUAUUGCCUUCAUUUUUUUCUAUUCAUCUGAAGCUGUUCUUGGUAUUUUUAUAUGUUUAGAUAAAAUGGUUUUUUUAAAUUAUAAUCAAUAAACAUUUAUGCAUGUCAGAAUAUUACUCUUCAGAAAACCAUCAUCUUCCUCAUUCCCCAGGUACAAGAUUCCGAUUUGGUUUUGGUUAAUGUGAUUAACACUAACCAAAACCAGGUUGGUGGAAGAAAGAAUUUGUCUUCCAAGUUAGUCCAUCACAAAGAGAAACUAAGGUGAAACUCAGACAGGAACCUGAAAUGGAACACCUACUACCACUACUCUGCUAAAUAAAAUGCAAUAGAAUUACUCCUAGUGACAUAUAUUGCUAUACUCAUAGACAACAGCAUUGUUCAAACCUCAACAAAGAAGCUUCUUGCAACAGAUGGCAGAUACCAUAAAAACCCACAGCUGAUCACUGUGCAGAGUGUAAAAGACUGUGAAAUGUUCAGAUCUAAGUGGGAUGUCUAUUCGCACGGCUCUGUAUACAGUUCGGGGAUGUAUACAGAAGCAGGGCAGAGAGACGGUUAGAAUCAGAAGUGGUAGAUGACUUCAAGGAAACAGUAUUUUUGAGAUACCACAGAUUAUAUGAAGCUAUGAACUCACAGUAACCAUGACUGUACAUGAGACCUACUCAAGCCAGGCAAAAUUCUAGCACAGAAAAAGAGGGCACAGAGUUUCAUCCUUCACAAUUGGUAGCACCUGGGAUAGAGAAAAACCAGUUCUCUUCAAGGGAAUGUCACUGAAUGUCAACCGCAGCCCAAGACAGGCCCCACAUUCCAGAGUAUUUGUCCCACACAAAUCAGACUCUGUAAUUGUUUUGUGUGUGCUUUUUUAUUUUGAUUGUGUUUUAGUUUUUGUUCAUUUUAGAAAGAAUGAAGUUAGGUGGUGAUGAAUUUGAGAGGGAUUGGGCAAAGGGAGGUGAAAAUAAUCAAAAUAUUUUACAUGAAAUUCC
rnacentral:lncRNA from 1 species